rnacentral:rRNA from 1 species
CUACGGGUCGCUGCAGUGAGGAAUAUUGCGCAAUGGGGGCAACCCUGACGCAGCGACGCCGCGUGAGUGAGGAAGGCCCUCGGGUCGUAAAGCUCUGUCAAGAGGAAAGAAGUGCAUAGUAGUUAAUACCUGCUAUGUUUGACGGUACCUCUAAAGGAAGCACCGGCUAACUCCGUGCCAGCAGCCGCGGUAAUACGGAGGGUGCAAGCGUUGUUCGGAAUCACUGGGCGUAAAGGGCGCGCAGGCGGCCUGGUAAGUCAGAUGUGAAAGCCCACGGCUUAACCGUGGAAGUGCAUUUGAAACUGUCAGGCUUGAGUACCAGAGGGGAAAGUGGAAUUCCCGGUGUAGAGGUGAAAUUCGUAGAUAUCGGGAGGAAUACCGGUGGCGAAGGCGACUUUCUGGCUGAGUACUGACGCUGAGGCGCGAAAGCGUGGGGAGCAAACAGGAUUAGAUACCCCAGUAGUC